AAGCUCGUAGUUGAAUUUCGGGGUUAGUAGGUUGGUCAUGCCUCUGGUAUGUACUGGUCUCACUGAUUCCUCCUUCCUUAUGAACCGUAACGCCAUUAAUUUGGUGUUGCGGGGAAUUUGGACUGUUACUUUGAAAAAAUUAGAGUGUUUAAAGCAAGCUAACGCUUGAAUACAUUAGCAUGGAAUAAUGAAAUAGGACGUUCGAUCUUAUUUUGUUGGUUUCUUAGGAUUGACGUAAUGAUUAAUAGGGAUAGUUGGG
rnacentral:rRNA from 1 species